rnacentral:rRNA from 1 species
UACGUAGGGUGCAAGCGUUGUCCGGAAUCAUUGGGCGUAAAGCGCGCGUAGGUGGUCAUGUAAGUCCGCUGUGAAAGUCAAGGGCUCAACCUUUGAAAGCCGGUGGAUACUGCAUGACUAGAGUACGGAAGAGGCGAGUGGAAUUCCUGGUGUAGCGGUGGAAUGCGCAGAUAUCAGGAGGAACACCAAUAGCGAAGGCAGCUCGCUGGGACGUUACUGACACUGAGGCGCGAAAGCCAGGGUAGCAAACGGG